rnacentral:misc_RNA from 1 species
GAUGAAGAACGUAGCGAAAUGCGAUAAGUAAUGUGAAUUGCAGAAUUCAGUGAAUCAUCGAAUCUUUGAACGCACAUUGCGCCCGCCAGUAUUCUGGCGGGCAUGCCUGUUCGAGCGUCAUUUCCACCAUCAGGCCCCCGGGCCUGUGUUGGGGACCUGCGGCUGCCCGCAGGCCCCGAAAUUCAGUGGCGGUCGCGCCGUAGCAACCGAGCGUAGUAACUAAAACGUCUCGCUCUGGCUCGCUGGGCGCGAUCCGGCCGUAAAACACCCCCCCUUUUCGCAAAGGUUGACCUCGGAUCAGGUAGGAAUACCCGCUGAACUUAAGCAUAUCAAUAAGCGGAGGA